GGAGUAUAAAAGUCCUCGAUCACGACCUGCAAAUUCACCCACUGUGCGACGAAUAAGAGAUUGUUAGAUAUCUUAUCUAACAACCUGUCAGACAUUACAAACCAUCUGAAGGAAAAUGGAGUGUGUAUCUACUGCAGAACUGAAGAAUGAAAAAUCUGCGGGCGGCGGGACCCAGGGGGCGGCUCCCCUGCUGGGUUUGGCCUCAGACAACAACUUGGACAACCUGGACAACUUGGAGGAGGUGAUGAAUGACUAGGUGUGCUGAGGAGGAGGAGCCACAAGAACCUGCACCUGCUGAAUACUUACACCUGUCGUUUACACACAGGGCACACAAACAAACAUCACACAACAAGAAUACAAAACUUUAAAUUAAUUAUGAAUUAGAUUAGCUAAAUAUUUGUAAUUCGUUUACGGCUUCAGCCACAUAUGUGUUCCCGGUUGGCCGAAAGGGCAGGUGUAAAUAUCCAGCAUGACCUCUGCUUAUCAGCUUCCUGUCCUGAAACGAUUUUCCCGGUUUUCAUCUUCUACAUUCCUGUCAGGUCAGUCUUAGAUUGCUACUGGUGAUUCUGUAACCCGGUACUACCUGUGUCAGAGCUUUUACAAACCUUCUAGAGAGCCUAUAGCAGAGACAAAUCUACGUUAGCCGUGCAGCCUGUGUCAGAGCUUUUACAAACCUUCUAGAGAGCCAAUAGCAGAGACAAAUCUACGUUAGCAGUGCAGCCUGUGUGUGUAUGCUGGCCCGCUGCAGCCAGCUGGAUAGAAACAGUGACAUCAUCAGACACUCCAUUUCUACUGCGAUUGCGCUCUGGGGACGAUUAAUGCCAAGGAUGAGGUGGGGUCAAAGGUCGAAGGUCGAGACCCAGAUUGAGGGGACGGAGCUUAGGAGACGUAGGAGGAGCAUGGACGCGCCAAUCAGCCUGUCUGGGGAGAGCCACCCCUGCUGGACAGACAGAGACUUGUUUACAGACAGACCGGACUCUCGCCAGUCACAUGAGAGACCGGGCUCUCGCCCGUCACAUGACUCUCCGGCCAGCACGCCGGCCACACUCAAGCGAUGUCAUAGCUUGCUGCUGAUUGCAGAUUUUUGAAACCCAGUAACUACCACGUGAUGCUGCUCAAUGUGACAUGACCGGACGUUACAUCACAGGAUGUGAUGUCAUGAGCCAUGCAACAGAGUGGGAGAGGUAGCGCUGGACCACGCUGGAGCUGGAGGGGAGUCUGUAAAGUCUGUGUAAAGUCUGUGUAAAGUCUGUGUAAAGUCUGUGUAAAGUCUCCAGAAGUGUCUGAGUAGACCGAGAGCUUCUCAAGGCAGCAUCAGUCAAGAAAUCCAGCCAAUCGCUGAUGCACUGUGUAUAUAUAAAUAUCUGUAUAUUAUGUACUUUUGUCUUUUCUUCAUAAACUGAAAUUAAUUAAAA